AAUCCUAUGUAUAAUAUAUAAGGCGAUUUCUGCCCAAUGAAUAAUUUAAUGGCCGCAGUACUUUGACUGUGCUAAGGUAGCAUAAUAAAUUGGCUUUUAAAUGAGGUCUAGAAUGAAAGAAUAUUUGAGUAGGAAUUGUCUCUAUAUAAUUUUAUUGAAUUUAAUUUAUUAGGUGAAAAGACCUAAUUUUAAAAGAAAGACGAGAAGACCCUUAGAAUUUUUUAAAAGUUUAAUUCUUUUUGUUGGGGUGACAUAUUAACAUUUAAACUUUUUUUUAUUUCAUGUCGGUUUUAUCAAGUAAGAAUAAAUUACCUUAGGGAUAACAGCAUAAUUAUUUUUUAGAUUAUGACCUCGAUGUUGGACUAGGAACCUAAUAGUUAGUAAUUAAGUUGGAUAGUUCUGUUCGAACUUUUAUUUCCU
rnacentral:rRNA from 1 species